UUGUAUUGCUCCUGUUCAACGACAUCGUUUUGAUAAGAUAUUGGAUAUAGCGAAACUGCCCUGCCCGGCCAUGCCUUGUUCCCGCCGUACUGCUUUCAUUUUCUCUCGAUUUCUUUCACUUUCUUAGCGCCCAAACACGAUUAACUCAAUUGCAACUCAUCAAAAUUUUGAUAUUGUAAAUAAAAUUAUUAUUGAAAUCUCUCGAGAAGACUAAUGUCAUGGGCAAGUAUCUAGAGCUAGAAGAAUUCCUCCCCUCAAAUUCAUACUCCAAAAUCGUUCUUUUCAAUCCAGGUAAAGUACUUCAUGGCCGAGUUCCAUCAGACAUCGCACUCCCUCUAUUUCGAUUUAAGCGUGAAACUUUUUCUUUCUUUAAUAGAUAGGGUAUGAUUUCACCAGAGUGAACAAUUACAGGCACACCACAUCGCAAGUCAUUGGCCUAGUUUCGGGGGUCAUAAUCGGAUUUCUGUACCAAAUGUUAGCACACCAACCUUCGCCUCAUUGGCUCAAUAGCUGUUGGGCAUUACACUACAUAUCAGGGUAAAUUUCUUUCUUAAGCCCUGAACUUAGAGUUUUUUUGUAAUUUUUCCUCUUUAUAAAUAAAUGUGGGGAGAAAGUUUUGUUGUCAAGAAGCUUUAAGAAUUGAGGUAUGGAGAAGUUAAAACAAAUGAAAUUAAUAUAUGAUAAUCAAGUUGUUCUUUAUGUCAGCCCAUUUUUUUAUGAAAGAAGGAAAUAUAGCGAUUUUUUUUUUCAAAAAUAGAUUUCAUUGAAAGCCUUAAAUAGGCAACAAGAGAGAUACAAAGUUAAUUUAUGCGUAAGGAUUAUAUCUAAAGGAAGGAUCAUGAAUGAACUUUAUGCCAAGAGUAUGGGUUGCUUGGUUACCACCAGAUGGCACAAAGGAAAAGUUCAACUCUCUAACAUCAUUAGAGAGAGUAGUGAUGUCCGAUAUGGUAUCCUGAAUUAAUAGGGGUGCAUGAAGACCUUGACAUGCCUUAAGCACUAUUAAUGAAUCACCUUCAAUUAUAAGCUUAGAGACACCAAAUCUAGAAGCAAGAAGGAUUGUCUCUCGACAUGCAAUGCUUUUAAGGAAUACGGGGUUUAUAAUGGAACUCCACAAAAGACUAACACCCGUUGAGGACUAUUCUCUGGAAAUUUCUUGCUAUCACCGUUGUUGCACCCAACUGUGUUGAAGAGCUAAUGGCCGCAUCAAAAUUAAUUUUGAUAACAUCCAUAGGCAAGAGGGGGAGGGAGGAGCAAACUUGGAUAUUGCUAGAGUCGGUCAAUGGGAAGAUGGCAUGGAAUCCACACAACACCAGUUGAGGACUAUUCUCUGGAAAUUUCUCGCUAUCACUGAUGUUGCAUCUGAUUGUGUUGAAGAGUUAAUGGCCGCGUCAAAAUUAAUUUUGAUAACACCUAUAAGCACGAAGGGGAGGGAGGAGCAAACUUGGAUAUUGUUGGAGUCGGUCAAUGGGGAAGAUGGCAUGGAAUCCACACCAUAUCCAGUUUUAAAGUCUUUUUGAGCACAAAUAGCAAAAUCUGUCAAUUCAAAAAUGGGGCAGGAAUGCUGAUUGAAGAUUUUAUCAUUGCAAUUUUUCCAGAUGUACCACAAAAGAAAAUCCACUAGUUGUAUAAGGCCUGGACCAUCA
rnacentral:lncRNA from 1 species